AUAUUGGUCAAUAGCCUAACGGCUGAACCAGCAACUUGGAAGAAUGAAAGAUGCAACACUGCAUCGUUAUAAUGAAAAAUUAUAGUAGUAACUACGUUACAUUAAGUUCUAGGUAAAUUUUUGAUUAUGACAUAAUUUAUCUAUAAGUCUUGACCAAAUCAUGUGCCAGCAGUCGCGGUAAGACAUGGAAGACAAGUGUUAUUCAUGAUUAGUGGGUUUAAAGGGUACUCAGACAGUUAAUUAAGCCUAUAUAUAAUACAGGAACUAAUUAUACUAGAGUUUUAUAGGAGAAGGAUAGAACGGUGAGUGGAGAGAUGAAAUAUGUUGAUACCACCUAGAUACUGGCAACAGUGAAGACAACCUUUUAUGUAAUAACUGACGUUAAAGGACGAAGGCUCAAGAGAAAGCAACAGGAUUAGAUACCCCAGUACUGUGGGCAGACAAUGAUGAGUGUCAUAGGUAAGUUAUUUAAUUUAACAAACAAAUUAUAAGUUUACGUAUAAAUGAAAGUGCAAGCACUCCACCUUAAGAGUAACAUGGCAACAUCGGAACUGAAAUCAUUAGACCGUUUCUGAAACCAGUAGUGAAGUAUGUUGUUUAAUUUGAUGAUCCACAAAGAACCUUACCACAAUUUGAAUUAUUCACAGGAGUUGCACGGCUGUCUUCAGUUGAUAUCGUGAGAUUUUGGUUAGAUCCAUCCAUCAACGUAAACCCUUACUUUAUUUUUUUUAUAAAGUAGUUUAUUACUGGAGCCAGUGAUAAUAAUAGGGACUAAGACAAGUCAUCAUGACCUAAAUAUUGUGGGC
rnacentral:rRNA from 1 species